GACGGGUACCCGGCCUGAGAGGGUGAACGGACACACUGGAACUGAGACACGGUCCAGACUCCUACGGGAGGCAGCAGUAGGGAAUAUUGCUCAAUGGGGGAAACCCUGAAGCAGCAACGCCGCGUGGAGGAUGAAGGUUUUAGGAUUGUAAACUCCUUUUGUUAGAGAAGAUUAUGACGGUAUCUAACGAAUAAGCACCGGCUAACUCCGUGCCAGCAGCCGCGGUAAUACGGAGGGUGCAAGCGUUACUCGGAAUCACUGGGCGUAAAGAGUGCGCAGGCGGGAUAGCAAGUCAGAUGUGAAAUGCUAUGGCUUAACCAUAGAACUGCAUUUGAAACUGUUAUUCUA
rnacentral:rRNA from 1 species